rnacentral:rRNA from 1 species
GAUGAACGCUGGCGGCGUGCCUAAUACAUGCAAGUCGAGCGAACAGAUGAGGAGCUUGCUCCUCUGACGUUAGCGGCGGACGGGCGAGUAACACGUGGAUAACCUACCUAUAAGUCUGGGAUAACUUCGGGAAACCGGAGCUAAUACCGGAUAAUAUAUUGUACCGCAUGGUUCAAUAGUGAAAGACGGCUUUGCUGUCACUUAUAGAUGGAUCCGCGCCGCAUUAGCUAGUUGGUAAGGUAACGGCCUACCAAGGCAACGAUGCGUAGCCGACCUGAGAGGAUGAUCAGCCACACUGGAACUGAGACACGGUCCAGACUCCUACGGGAGGCAGCAGUAGGGAAUCUUGCGCAAUGGGCGAAAGCUUGACGGAGCCACGCCGCGUGAGUGAUGAAGGUCUUCGGGUCGUAAAGCUCUUUUAUUGGGGAAGAACAAAUGUGGAUGUAACUCUGCACGUCUUGACGGUACCUAAACAGUAAGCCCCGGCUAACUACGUG